rnacentral:tRNA from 5 species
UUCUCAAUAGCUUAACGGUAAAGCGUGUGACUGUUAAUCAUUUGGUGUGUUAAAAUUGUUAGUCAUGAAAUCAAGUAUUUUUAGCAAA